AAGUCGUAACAAGGUUUCCGUAGGUGAACCUGCGGAAGGAUCAUUAACACGUAUCCAACGUUAAACAACCCUGUGAACUUUCAGCGCUCAAUCCCGGUAAAUCAAUUGGCGGAAAAGUUUUGAUUCGGGACCUCUGUCCAAAAGGUUACAAUCGAGUUGAGCAGUGGCAUGGUUUCCCUAAGCAGUGCAGAAGGAUCCACUGAGUAAGGAUAACUCAUCAAAGGUUGCUAGAGGUCGAUCACCGGCCGGCAGACAUGUCACAGGGCUAUACGCCCCUUCAUUCACCCCUUGCCCUCUCCUGCCCGCCGGAAACGUCGGGCACAAAAACUGAACAACUGUUAACAAUGGAUAUCUUGGUUCUC
rnacentral:misc_RNA from 1 species